CAAACCGGUGCCCACGGGGAAUGCCAGCACUGCAGGCAGUGGCUUCACCCGCUGCGCCAGAACCGGGCCCCGGCUUGGUUUGCUUCUUUGGUUUUUCAGAUGCCAAUGAUUUCAUUCACUCCCUCUCCUGUCCCAUUUUACAGUUUUAAACUGUUAAACCGGUAGCGCAGCCGUGUGCCCUGCACUCGCCCGCAGCUCCAGCGCUUUCCUAAGUGGUGUCCAGGUCAGCCUGGAAGUCCAGCGACAGCACGGGAUGAAGUGUCCGCCAAGAGCAGCGCGAUGCCACCGACCGCCGCGGCCUCCGGAGCGCUGAGACCCGACCCAGCCCUGCUGCGCAGCUCCCCGGGCCUCUCCAGGGAGCAGCUGGAGGAUUCUGUCAAGGAACCCAAGAAACAAUAGACUUCAGAUCCAUGUGCCGCCCCGUCCGGGGGACCGCCUGGGUUACCAGACCCGCAGCUGGCGAGGCGAGACCUUGGCAGCUCCCUCCCAAGGCAGGCCCGCGCCGUCUGAUUAAAAGUGUUGACAAGGAA